rnacentral:rRNA from 1 species
UACGUAGGGUGCGAGCGUUGUCCGGAAUUAUUGGGCGUAAAGGGCUCGUAGGCGGUUUGUCGCGUCGGGAGUGAAAACUCAGGGCUUAACCCUGAGCCUGCUCCCGAUACGGGCAGACUAGAGGUAUGCAGGGGAGAACGGAAUUCCUGGUGUAGCGGUGAAAUGCGCAGAUAUCAGGAGGAGCACCAAUGGCGAAGGCAGAUCUCUGGGCCGUAACUGACGCUGAGGAGCGAAAGCAUGGGGAGCGAACAGG